AGUUACACUUAGAGCUAGUUAUGUUAUAAAUUAUAAUAAAUUAAUAAUUAUUAUAAUUAUAAUGAUAAUCUGUGGGCCUGUGGAGUGUGGGCUGUGGCAACUACCAAAUAUCCGUGGAUACGUAAGCUUUGAUGGACGAGGUUUAUAAAGUUGUUGCCGAUGAUCCAAAGUUGCCAGUGACAAGUUAACUAUGAAAAUUCAGAAAAUUAAAUGUAGUAAAAAAUCGUCUACGAUGUUCUUUAAAUCAAGACCACCUUGAAGCAUUCAUACAAUCAUACUAACGGAAGAAUGAGAUAUUUUGUAUGUUAUUGAUUUAAAAUAUUAAAUAAAUACUGAAUAUUAUACUGAAAAA